rnacentral:rRNA from 1 species
UACAAUGGAGAGUUUGAUCCUGGCUCAGGAUGAACGCUAGCGGCAGGCCUAAUACAUGCAAGUCGGACGGGAUUGUGGAGCUUGCUUCACAUGAGAGUGGCGCACGGGUGCGUAACACGUAUGUAACCUACCUUGUUCAGGGGGAUAGCCUCUCGAAAGAGAGAUUAAGACCGCAUAACAUUGCGAUGUGGCAUCACAUUGUAAUCAAAUAUUUAUAGGAACAAGAUGGGCAUGCGGAACAUUAGCUAGUUGGUAAGGUAACGGCUUACCAAGGCUACGAUGUUUAGGGGAUCUGAGAGGAUGACCCCCCACACUGGUACUGAGACACGGACCAGACUCCU